UCUCUGAUAGUAUAUCGGUUAGUACACGCGCCUGUCAUGUUAUUGGAAUGAACGCGCGAAAGCUGGGUUCGACUCCCAGUCAGAGAG